rnacentral:lncRNA from 1 species
UUAAUUAUCACAACAGUGUUAACCGGUUAACAGGGUUAACCGGUUAACGCAAGACAGAAAGCUGUUCCUGCGCUAACACGAAACAGAAUGCAGAUUUCCCCGCAUUUUCCGCCAUUGGAGGACUUCCGGACCUCCGAUUUCGAUUCCGUAAAAAGCUACACUUCCAGGAAAUUACAACUCAUCCAAAUACAGAUCCAUUCACGGUUUUAACGUAACUUAUUCAUCACAAUUUACAACAUUCAUCAUCCUGAUUAGGGUCAAUUCAAU